UACAGAGACUGCAAGCGUAUUCGGAUUCACUGGGCGUAAAGGGUGCGCAGGCGGUUGGGUGUGUCAGAUGUGAAAUCCCGAGGCUUAACCUCGGAACUGCGUCUGAAACUACUUGACUAGAGUACUGGAGAGGGAAACGGAAUUCACGGUGUAGCAGUGAAAUGCGUAGAUAUCGUAAGGAAGACCAGUGGCGAAGGCGAGUCUCUGGACAGUUACUGACGCUGAGGCACGAAGGCCAGGGGAGCAAACGGG
rnacentral:rRNA from 1 species